AAAUCAUGAAAAGUAGUCCCGUUGAAAACCACGAAUUAGCGACCACCGGAAGAAGAGGAGAGUCGGGUGCACGCUUCCCACGCUCCGGAUAAGCAGUAGAGAACUCGGGCAGUCAUCUCUGCGUGGCCUUGAAAAUAAUGAGGGUAGAGCGAUUCUGAAUACGAGUCUAAAAUAAGUGAACCGCCUCACCUUCUCCGGAAUUCAGCAAGCGUCAACAUGUCCACCUCUACAUACAAUGUUUGUGUUACUACUACUACUACUACUACUACCACUACUACUACUACUACUACAAGAAGGAGCCAGCAAUGAGAAAAGUGACUGUGUGGCCAGGUAGCGUCUGAUUGGCUCACCUGUGAAGAGUGGCAGGUGAAGCACAGGUGAAGAGAGGGAGAGGUUAGGGAAUGCUUGAUAAUGUCACUACUACUACUACUACUACUACUACUACUACUACUACUACUACUACUACUACUACUACUACUACUACUACUACUGCAGGUUUAAUUCGGGUUCUCGUUGUGUUUGUUUAACUUUUGCUAAUGGCUGUUAUUAAAGUUAGAAGCAGU